rnacentral:snRNA from 1 species
GGAUGUGAGGGCCAUCUGGCUGUGACAUCUGUCACCCCAUUGAUCACCGGGGUUGAUUCGGCUGAUCUGGCUGGCUAGGCGGGUGUCCCCCUCUUCCCUCACUGAUCCAUGUGCGUCCAUCCCGAAGCUGUGUGCUGGGUCAAAGAGGACGACCUUCCCCCCCGAGGAGAGGACCGGUCUUCGGUCAAGGGUAUAGGAGUAGCUGCGCUCCCCUGCUAGAACCUCCAAACAAGCUCUCAAGAAUCAAAGCCCUGACAUAAAAGUAAAAAAUUUCAGGCAUAUCUUCCAAAGUAAAAGA